rnacentral:rRNA from 1 species
GACGAACGCUGGCGGCGUGCUUAACACAUGCAAGUCGAACGGUGAAGCGCCUUCCUUUUUGGUGGGUGUGGAUGAGUGGCGAACGGGUGAGUAACACGUGAGUAACCUGCCCCCUUCUUCUGGAUAACCGCAUGAAAGUGUGGCUAAUACGGGAUAUUCUGGGUCUGUCGCAUGAUGGGUCUGGGAAAGAUAUUGUUUCGGUGGGGGAUGGGCUCGCGGCCUAUCAGCUUGUUGGUGGGGUGAUGGCCUACCAAGGCGGUGGCGGGUAGCCGGCCUGAGAGGGUGGACGGUCACACUGGGACUGAGACACGGCCCAGACUCCUACGGGAGGCAGCAGUGGGGAAUAUUGCACAAUGGGCGCAAGCCUGAUGCAGCGACGCCGCGUGAGGGAUGGAGGCCUUCGGGUUGUGAACCUCUUUCGCCAGUGAAGCAGGCCUGCCUCGUUUGUGGGUGGGUUGACGGUAGCUGGAUAAGAAGCGCCGGCUAACUACGUG